AAACUGGCCUUUAUAAAGGCCACAUUCAAUUAAAAAUGCUUUCUCU
rfam:Cavia porcellus supercont2_50 genomic scaffold, whole genome shotgun sequence.